GGAUGGAAGAAUAGGUUUCUCCAAGUUCUCAAAAUUGAGAACCUCUAAGUCUCCACACCAAGGUAAGAUUUUAGGAAGAAAUGAGUGACCUAGAGGAAGUAAGAUUACUAGCUAUUUUCCUCUAGGGUGGCCGGCCUCUUUAGAGAGAAAAGAGAUUUUGUGUUCUCAUCUUUUCUCCAAAAGAAACCCUAAAUGAAUUUUGGCUAUAAAGUCAUAUUUAUACCUUCCUUCAUUGGAGUGGCAAACUUGUAAUUAAAGCAAGUUCACUACCCUCAUCUAAAUGGCCAGCCUUAAGGGUUUAUUGGGCUUUCAAGCCCUUUAUUUAUUCAAGUUGUCAUACAACUUGAGUUAAUGGGCUUGACAUUCAAAUCCCAUUGGGCCUUACGGCCAAAAACUAACCCUAGGUCUAUAACGAACUUAUUCGUUUGAUUAAUUAACAUAUUAAUUAAUCCUAGCCAUAAAUAAAUAAUUAAACCAUUUAAUUAUCCUUACUCAUCUCCGUUGUUUCUUCAAUCUCUACCUUACACGGUGUACGAUCCAUUAGGUUCCUUUUAGCGAGGCAGUGGGCGAUUGUUACUCUUAACGAUCGAUUGUGAAUUGAAACUUACUUUCAAUUCUCCCUUUAGUGAUUACUCGCCUUUAGGGCUACC
rnacentral:lncRNA from 1 species